UACGUAGGGCGCAAGCGUUGUCCGGAAUUAUUGGGCGUAAAGAGCUCGUGGGCGGUUUGUCGCGUCUGUCGUGAAAGCUUGGGGCUUAACCCCAAGUCUGCGGUGGAUACGGGCAGACUAGAGGCAGGUAGGGGAGAACGGAACUCCCGGUGUAGCGGUGAAAUGCGCAGAUAUCGGGAGGAACACCGGUGGCGAAGGCGGUUCUCUGGGCCUGUACUGACGCUGAGGAGCGAAAGCGUGGGGAGCGAACAGG
rnacentral:rRNA from 1 species